CCCUUAGACGUUCUGGGCCGCACGCGCGCUACACUGAUGCAUGCAACGAGUUUAUAACCUUGGCCUGAAAGGUCUGGGUAAUCUUUUGAACGUGCAUCGUGAUAGGGAUAGAUUAUUGCAAUUGUUAAUCUUGAACGAGGAAUUCCUAGUAAACGCGAGUCAUCAGCUCGCAUUGAUUACGUCCCUGCCCUUUGUACACACCGCCCGUCGCACCUACCGAUUGAAUGGUUCGGUGAAGAUCUCGGACUUCGAUAUUUAUUCUUUAUUGAGUUUAUAUUGUGGGAAGUUAUCUAAACCUCAUCAUUUAGAGGAAGGUGAAGUCGUAACA
rnacentral:rRNA from 1 species